UUCAUGAAUCCAAAAGAUUCCCAAUUCCAUUAAUAAUAUAUUCAUAUGUAUUCUUUUCCAUCUGCUCCCUAAUAUAUUCCAUAUGUUCAGUCAUUUUUCUAAUUGGGUCAGUCAGCUAUCUCUUUUACCAAAACACUUUUUUUCCAUUUCCCUCCUAUGUAAAUUUUGUCUUCAGUCAUGUUUUUCCCUCCAUAGAUUUUUCGUUGUUUUUUUAUAUAUGUCCAGAAAGUGAAGACCUUUUCCACCUCUUUUGUUUUUGUUUUUAAUGUAUUUUUCUACUAAUUUAUUUUGUUUUUCUCUCAAUUCCAUCUGAAUUUUCAUGUCCCUGUUAGUCAAGUAGUUCAAACUCCAUCACCAAACGCAACCUGCAAAACAAAAACAAAAUUCAAAAUGUCCACGAAAAUAUAACUACAAAAAAAUGUAAGUAACAUAAAACGGAAAAAAAAAAAAAACGAAUGGAACAUACCUGACACGACGAAUAACGCAUACCUGGAAAACUAACGCAACGCUUCACGGUAG
rnacentral:sRNA from 1 species